rnacentral:rRNA from 1 species
GACGGACGGUGCAAGCGUUGCUCGGAAUCACUGGGCGUAAAGGGUGCGUAGGCGGCUUGGUGGGUCUGGUGUGAAAGCCCCGGGCUCAACCUGGGAACUGCAUCCGAAACUGCCUUGCUAGAGUAUGGGAGAGGGAAGUGGAAUUUCCGGUGUAGCGGUGAAAUGCGUAGAUAUCGGAAGGAACAUCAGUGGCGAAGGCGACUUCCUGGACCAAUACUGACGCUCAGGUGCGAAAGCGUGGGGAGCAAACAGG